GGGGCCGUAGUCUAGCCUGGGCUUUCAGGGUACAUAAGGCACCAGCCUGCGGAGUUGGUAAUCCCCGGUUCGAAUCCGGGCGGUCCCGCCA
rnacentral:tRNA from 1 species